UAUGUGUGUGUAUUAUUGACAGUUAACGUUUUUCCUAACUGUCAAUAAAAGAUAUUACUGCUAAUUUUUGCUUGAAAUAUCUGAAGAAUAUGCACCAAGCAAUCUUUAGGUUAAAAUUAAGGAUGAUUUCCUUGUGACCGUAACGUUAAGAAUUUUAAUCCUUGGGGG